GGCAAAAUAUGUCAUCCAAUAAAAUCGAUUAAACUAGCAGGCUCCGAUUAUAAUGAGUUGAAUAUUUUACAUGGACGAAAACACAAGUUUUAGGGCGAAAACCAGUUUUUCCCACGAAAACAUGUUUUCAUUGUCGGUCUGAACAAAGUAUUAGACCGAUGAAAUUGUGCGGUGUUUGUAUUUGGAUGUUAUUCCUCAGAUAAUUACAGCUGGAUCAAAUAGAUUAGG
rnacentral:lncRNA from 1 species